rnacentral:lncRNA from 1 species
CAGCUACUCAGAAACCUGAGGUGGGAAAAUCGUUUGAGUCCAGGAGUUUGGGGUUAAUGCAGCAAGACCCUGUUGCAAACUAAAACAAAAACCUGGUUAAAAGAAAUUGAGCUCAGAGUCAAAUGCCCUGAAAACAGACAGUUCAGACAUUUCUGGCCACCUCCAGCACACACUUAAUGUCAUAAUCUCUGUCUUCAGACACUGGAUGAUGCUAGGAGAGCA